GAUCUCCCUCUGCACUGGGAGAAAAAGAGAAGUUAGCCUGAUGAAGUUCCUUGAGCAACUUGGAGAGGAUCCUGCAGGAGAGAGGAAAUAGAGGAGCGUUUUCUUUCUGGGCUGGCUGAGGAAAUGCUAUCAUAACUCUUUACCUUCCUCGUCCCCAGCUCUGGCCAGCUGAAGGUGGAGGUGGAGGGAUCCGCUACCACCAUACCGUGGUCUUUUCAGGCCACACGAUCUCCAAGUAGCAAGGGGGAAAGAGAGUGAGCCUGCAUGCCAAUUCUAAGCUCUUCCGGAUCAAAGUGAGCAAAUGGGAGGGGGUGGGA
rnacentral:lncRNA from 1 species